CCACAUUGAAACAUUGGUUCUCAUACGAUCAGCGAAGUUAAUCAACGCCGAGCCUGGUCAGUCCCUAGAUGGGUGACUGCUUGUGAAUGCCAGGUGCUGUAA